UUCAGGGCAAACACGAACCAGAGAAAGAAAUUUGAAGAGGGGAGAGGCUGUGUACUCCCAAAGCCCUCCCAUAGUGAUGCACUUCCUCCAGAAAGGCAACGCCUUCUCCUUCUCCCCAAUAGCACCACCGACUGGGAACCACGUGUUCAAAUGCUUGAGCCUCUGGGGGCCAUCUUCAUCCAGACAACCCAGGAACUUCCAUUGAAGGCUCAAAGGGGCAUAAAUAGGGUACAUCUUUGCUUUGGACGUUAUGCACAGGAGAUCUGCAGGUUUCCCGAUGGAGUCUGAGAAUGAGGCCUUUGCAACUUUCACAUUAUCGUACUAUAAAAUCCACCAGUGACUAUUUGUACUCGAGAUGGUGGAUACAGAUGAUUGGCGACUCAGAGGCUGAUGGACUGGAUCCUCACAAUCAUCGUGGACUCCGGGGCAUCUCUAAUCCAGGACUGAGCAGUUUGAACUCGCUGUUCAAUGGCACAUGAUUGUAUUUUUGCUCAAGAAGAAGAAGACACAGCCCAGCCGAUUCCAUGGAAAUUCAGAGAGGGCGGCCACAUGGGGGCAAUUUUAAUCCAGGCGAAGCGGAACCCAUGGAGCCCUGAAGAUUGUCAUUCAGUUUGGAAUGGAAUAACUUUGUAAUUUUCAAGAGACCAGCUUGUGAGAAAAACUGAAUUAAAAUGUGAUCCAGCAGAACCAGGCCUGACUGGCCACCUCGGGCACAGCGCUAACAUUUCCAGCUCUCUUUGCCUAGCUGCGUGCUUGAGGUUAUAUUUGGCACAGACGCACAGAGGACAAAGGAGGACCCAGACUCCAGCCUGUGGCUCGAGUCCCCCAGCCCGCACAGCCGUGUGUGCUCGCUCCCACCCACCGCCCCACAGAAGAGCUGCUGUGUGCUCAUCUGACUCUAAUUCCAGAGGAGAGGACAAGAUGUACUUUGAAUUGGAAUUUGACACUGACUGGGGACCACGGUGAGCCGCAAAGGUGACAAGCAUGGUCUGCUCAUUGACUCAAUCUGUGCAUUGGAACAACGAUGGCGUUUGGAAUUUCAGUUUCCCCACCCACCGAGCAGAGGGAUGGGAAGUGCAGUGUGUAUUACAUUUAUGUUCCUGUCCAGCGCUUCAUGCUCAAGGUGUCUGAGGUGGGGACAGGUCUGUGAUAAAAAUACACUUGUUGAAGAAAAAAAAAAGAUAGGAUUUCAAAAUUAGUUUUUUAAAUUGCUUCUGACAUUCGCUAGUCUCUAAGUUUUCUUUCAUUUGGAAAACCGAGACUGCCGUAGUUAGGAGACUAUGAAGAGUCAUGUUCUCAGCUUCAUGGAAAUCCUUUCCCAUCCUCUGCCCUGGUCAGCUGACGGGUAUUGGCUUAUUACCCAUUCUCUUCCAUUAUCAGCCCCCUUUAGAUUAAAGACCCGGAGAGGAGCUAUUUUAUUGUGAAAACCCCAGACUCAGGUGUAACACUGCAUGGGUAUCAGUGACAGCUCUUGGGGCCUGAUCCCAGGGCCACGUAGCCAUGAUAUAGUGUGAGUUCCUGCAAAUCCCCUGACCACAUGGGCAGAAACAUGCGACAUGGAGGCAUCGGAGCCUUCCAAAAAUAAGUGGGUGUGGCUAGCUCUAACUAGGUGUGUGCUUCUGAGGUUUGUGGGAGCCCCUUGGGGCAAGUGUUAAAAACUGAGAGUUGGAGCCAGCACAUUCUGGCUCCUUCCUCUCUGGUUCCGAGUUAAAAUAGCCUGAGGCUUGGCCGUGAGUUCUCCUUGUUUGCCCCUUCUCUUGUUCUGUGAGCUAUUGCUUAUUCUGUGUACUUAAAAAAAAAAAAUUGUAAAUAGAGUGCCUAAUGAAGUGUACUUUUAAAACCUCACACAGAGAUUCACUUCAUAGGAAUUUGUAGCUGUAUUUAAAUCUGACCCCACUUUUCUCCUUUCUCCUCUGCCUCAGCAGAGACCCCAACCCCCAGCCUCUCCUGUGUUGGUAGGAGAAAUUCCUACCUGGGUUUUCUCACAGUGAUGCAUGCUGAUAGGGUUACUAUCUCCAAUUUUGGUGAAGUUGGAAAUCACCAUUUAUUUCAUAGUUAGAAAAAAGCUAAUACACCUAGCGGGUUGAUGUCUCUUUGUGAGUAGAAAGUGUUGAAGAGAGGCUCCACUGCAAUUCGAUCUUAAAUGCUGGCAUAGUGUUCUGUCUCUCUUGGAUUUUCACUUCAGAGAAAGGGACCCUGCUUACGUUGUCUGCGCUGAGUGAGGACUCUGGUUUCCCGUAGUAACAUUCCUCUGGGCAGCAAGCACCGUUUAUCUCUCUGCAGUCUGUGGCUCAAGUCCUCCGGGUCCGAGAACAAGAAGAGCAUGGGUAGAAGAGGAUCGACGCCAGAAAAAUCUCUGGAGAUUCUCUAGACAGAUUCUCACACUUUAACUCUGUGUCUCUCUAAAAGGUGGUGGCCUCUUGUGGGACGACCUCAAGGACAGCACUCACUAACCUGAAAGGAUUAUGGUUCCAGAACACUGCUGGCUAGGGAAAGUUCAGAAGAACCAGAGCCCUUGAAGGACCUGAGCAAACUGCUUCGCUUGGGAGAGAGAAGAUUUGAACAUGAAAGUUAUGGUAUUUAAUUAACUUUAAGGUACAGGCAAUUGUCAGCUUCCUGGCAUUUUCCCCUUCAUGGUAAACACAGGAAUAAUAAACUUGGAGAGUUUGGGGCAACCGUGGCAGUAGGUGGGAGGGACCCCUACGUGAGAUUGGCGAGAACAAACAUUAAACAGCGUCUAAUUAUCAUAUGAGAAGAUUCCAAAGAAUCUUUUCACACAUCUUAGGGAGAAAUCUGAAAUUCUUUUCGGAACAUAAUGUUUUACAUGGCUCCCUGCCACCCCUAAGGAAGACAUUGUAACUCUGUCCUCUUCAGUCUUGAGAGUCACUACUGCAGAGAAAGACUAUUGGAAAGUGAUGUGCUACGGAAUGAUAGCUGAAUGCUAGCAGGAUUGAAUGUGUACAGUCAUUGAAAUUGUACUUAAAGAUGCAGGCAGUUCUUUCUUUUCCUGACAAUUUUAAUAUAACUUCAAAAUUUAUCAAAAAUGGUGAAGCUCUAAUGUGUAGAAGUGCUGUGGGGUUGGUCUGUCUGUCUGUCUCUCU